UACGAAGGGGGCUAGCGUUGCUCGGAUUGACUGGGCGUAAAGGGCGCGUAGGCGGUUCGUACAGCCAGACGUGAAAUUCCUGGGCUCAACCUGGGGGCUGCGUUUGAUACUGGUUGGCUUGAAUCCGGGAGAGGGAUGUGGAAUUCCAGGUGUAGCGGUGAAAUGCGUAGAUAUCUGGAGGAACACCGGUGGCGAAGGCGGCAUCCUGGACCGGUAUUGACGCUGAGGAGCGAAAGCCAGGGGAGCGAACGGG
rnacentral:rRNA from 1 species